GACAAUUGAGAAUUAAUAAAAUUUAAGAGUUUGUUAUGAUUAUUGUUGAUUUUGAGAAUUAAUGCAGGUUUCGAGAAUUGUUUAUAAUCCCAUUCUGAAUGUUCUAUUGUGUUCUACAUGAAGAUGCACAUUUAGAUUGAUAAACAAAGUCAAUGUUUGAGAAAAAGCCAAGUUUUAGAUUAGCAGAUACCAUCUUGACAUUGUUG
rnacentral:misc_RNA from 1 species